CCUACGGGGGGCUGCAGUGGGGAAUAUUGCGCAAUGGGCGAAAGCCUGACGCAGCGACGCCGCGUGAGGGAUGAAGGUCUUCGGAUCGUAAACCUCUGUCAGCAGGGAAGAACGGUCACUGUGCUAAUCAGCAGUGAAUUGACGGUACCUGCAAAGGAAGCACCGGCUAACUCCGUGCCAGCAGCCGCGGUAAUACGGAGGGUGCGAGCGUUAAUCGGAAUUACUGGGCGUAAAGCGCUCGUAGGCGGUAUGUCAAGUCAAGGGUGAAAUCCCCGCGCUCAACGUGGGAACUGCCUUUGAAACUGGCAAACUGGAGUGUGGGAGAGGGUGGUGGAAUUCCAGGUGUAGGAGUGAAAUGCGUAGAUAUCUGGAGGAACAUCAGUGGCGAAGGCGACUAUCUGGCACAUAACUGACGCUGAGGAGCGAAAGCGUGGGUAGCAAACAGGAUUAGAUACCCCUGUAGUC
rnacentral:rRNA from 1 species